UACGUAGGGGGCAAGCGUUGUCCGGAUUUAUUGGGCGUAAAGAGCGUGUAGGCGGCCAGGUAGGUCUGCUGUGAAAACUCGAGGCUUAACCUCGAGAUGUCGGCGGAAACCAUCUGGCUAGAGUCCGGAAGAGGAGAGCGGAAUUCCUGGUGUAGCGGUGAAAUGCGUGGAGAUCAAGAGGAACACUCGUGGCGAAAGCGAGCUACUGGACAAUAUCUGACGCUGAGGCUCGAAGGCCAGGGUAGCGAAAGGG
rnacentral:rRNA from 1 species